rnacentral:rRNA from 1 species
GACGAACGCUGGCGGCGUGCCUAAUACAUGCAAGUAGAACGCUGAAGGAGGAGCUUGCUUCUCCGGAUGAGUUGCGAACGGGUGAGUAACGCGUAGGUAACCUGCCUGGUAGCGGGGGAUAACUAUUGGAAACGAUAGCUAAUACCGCAUAACAGUAGAUGUUGCAUGACAUUUGCUUAAAAGGUGCAAUUGCAUCACUACCAGAUGGACCUGCGUUGUAUUAGCUAGUUGGUGAGGUAACGGCUCACCAAGGCGACGAUUCAUAGCCGACCUGAGAGGGUGAUCGGCCACACUGGGACUGAGACACGGCCCAGACUCCUACGGGAGGCAGCAGUAGGGAAUCUUCGGCAAUGGACGGAAGUCUGACCGAGCAACGCCGCGUGAGUGAAGAAGGUUUUCGGAUCGUAAAGCUCUGUUGUAAGAGAAGAACGAGUGUGAGAGUGGAAAGUUCACACUGUGACGGUAUCUUACCAGAAAGGGACGGCUAACUACGUG